rnacentral:rRNA from 1 species
GAAUGGGGAAACCCAGUGUGUUUCGACACACUAUCAUUAACUGAAUCCAUAGGUUAAUGAGGCGAACCGGGGGAACUGAAACAUCUAAGUACCCCGAGGAAAAGAAAUCAACCGAGAUUCCCCCAGUAGCGGCGAGCGAACGGGGAGGAGCCCAGAGCCUGAAUCAGUGUGUGUGUUAGUGGAAGCGUCUGGAAAGGCGCGCGAUACAGGGUGACAGCCCCGUACACAAAAAUGCACAUAUUGUGAGCUCGAUGAGUAGGGCGGGACACGUGGUAUCCUGUCUGAAUAUGGGGGGACCAUCCUCCAAGGCUAAAUACUCCUGACUGACCGAUAGUGAACCAGUACCGUGAGGGAAAGGCGAAAAGAACCCCGGCGAGGGGAGUGAAAAAGAACCUGAAACCGUGUACGUACAAGCAGUGGGAGCCUCUUAAUGGGGUGACUGCGUACCUUUUGUAUAAUGGGUCAGCGACUUAUAUUCUGUAGCAAGGUUAACCGAAUAGGGGAGCCGAAGGGAAACCGAGUCUUAACUGGGCGUUAAGUUGCAGGGUAUAGACCCGAAACCCGGUGAUCUAGCCAUGGGCAGGUUGAAGGUUGGGUAACACUAACUGGAGGACCGAACCGACUAAUGUUGAAAAAUUAGCGGAUGACUUGUGGCUGGGGGUGAAAGGCCAAUCAAACCGGGAGAUAGCUGGUUCUCCCCGAAAGCUAUUUAGGUAGCGCCUCGUGAAUUCAUCUCCGGGGGUAGAGCACUGUUUCGGCAAGGGGGUCAUCCCGACUUACCAACCCGAUGCAAACUGCGAAUACCGGAGAAUGUUAUCACGGGAGACACACGGCGGGUGCUAACGUCCGUCGUGAAGAGGGAAACAACCCAGACCGCCAGCUAAGGUCCCAAAGUCAUGGUUAAGUGGGAAACGAUGUGGGAAGGCCCAGACAGCCAGGAUGUUGGCUUAGAAGCAGCCAUCAUUUAAAGAAAGCGUAAUAGCUCACUGGUCGAGUCGGCCUGCGCGGAAGAUGUAACGGGGCUAAACCAUGCACCGAAGCUGCGGCAGCGACACUAUGUGUUGUUGGGUAGGGGAGCG